GAUGAACGCUGGCGGCGUGCCUAAUACAUGCAAGUCGAGCGAACGGACGAGAAGCUUGCUUCUCUGAUGUUAGCGGCGGACGGGUGAGUAACACGUGGAUAACCUACCUAUAAGACUGGGAUAACUUCGGGAAACCGGAGCUAAUACCGGAUAAUAUUUUGAACCGCAUGGUUCAAAAGUGAAAGACGGUCUUGCUGUCACUUAUAGAUGGAUCCGCGCUGCAUUAGCUAGUUGGUAAGGUAACGGCUUACCAAGGCAACGAUGCAUAGCCGACCUGAGAGGGUGAUCGGCCACACUGGAACUGAGACACGGUCCAGACUCCUACGGGAGGCAGCAGUAGGGAAUCUUCCGCAAAGGGCGAAAGCCUGACGGAGCAACGCCGCGUGAGUGAUGAAGGUCUUCGGAUCGUAAAACUCUGUUAUUAGGGAAGAACAUAUGUGUAAGUAACUGUGCACAUCUUGACGGUACCUAAUCAGAAAGCCGCGGCUAACUACGUG
rnacentral:rRNA from 1 species